rnacentral:rRNA from 1 species
UCGGGAAUAUUGCGCAAUGGAGGAAACUCUGACGCAGUGACGCCGCGUGCAGGAAGAAGGUUUUCGGAUUGUAAACUGCUUUAGACAGGGAAGAAAAAAGACAGUACCUGUAGAAUAAGCUCCGGCUAACUACGUGCCAGCAGCCGCGGUAAUACGUAGGGAGCAAGCGUUAUCCGGAUUUAUUGGGUGUAAAGGGUGCGUAGACGGAGAGGCAAGUUAGUUGUGAAAUCCCUCGGCUUAACCGAGGAACUGCAACUAAAACUACUUCCCUUGAGUGCUGGAGAGGAAAGUGGAAUUCCUAGU